CUUCAAGAGAAUCAGUUAGAAAAGUAGUUCGUGAACAAGAGAAGGAAGUUAUGUUAUUUGAUAAUGAUAGUGGUGGCUCUUACAAGGCGGCUGCACAUGAAAAAGAUGGAGAUAAUGCUCUUUUCCCUGAAAGUGAUGACAACAGUUCAACAUGGUACGAGAACGAACUACUAUGGGCACCUUCGUCGCCAAAAUAACUGAAGAUCGGUAUUGUUCUCUCCAAAGGUGAAGUACCUGGUGGGUGCACACUGUCAUACAUGAACCAUUCGUGUUGUGUGCAGGUUGAUGUUGUCCUAAGAUUAUCAUCUCUAAGUUUUCUUGAUGUUGUAUAAAAGACAUGCAUUGAGAGG